rnacentral:rRNA from 1 species
CUCCGUAGGUGAACCUGCGNNNGGAUCAUUACACAAAUAUGAAGGCGGGCUGGAACCUCUCGGGGUUACAGCCUUGCUGAAUUAUUCACCCUUGUCUUUUGCGUACUUCUUGUUUCCUUGGUGGGUUCGCCCACCACUAGGACAAACAUAAACCUUUUGUAAUUGCAAUCAGCGACAGUAACAAAUUAAUAAUUACAACUUUCAACAACGGAUCUCUUGGUUCUGGCAUCGAUGAAGAACGCAGCGAAAUGCGAUAAGUAGUGUGAAUUGCAGAAUUCAGUGAAUCAUCGAAUCUUUGAACGCACAUUGCGCCCUUUGGUAUUCCAAAGGGCAUGCCUGUUCGAGCGUCAUUUGUACCCUCAAGCUUUGCUUGGUGUUGGGCGUCUUGUCUCUAGCUUUGCUGGAGACUCGCCUUAAAGUAAUUGGCAGCCGGCCUACUGGUUUCGGAGCGCAGCACAAGUCGCACUCUCUAUCAGCAAAGGUCUAGCAUCCAUUAAGCCUUUUUUUCAACUUUUGACCUCGGAUCAGGUAGGGAUACCCGCUGAACUUAAGCAUAUCA